ACGUGUACACACACACACACACACACACACACACACACACACACACACACACACACUCCUGAACUUCCUUGAAAAUGUGCAACUUUUUAAAGAUCACAGUUCUGUACCGCUUUUAAUUUUCAGAUCAUAUUGUAAUGGGAAUAAUUUCCCUCCACUAUCAUUAACUGUUUUACUUCCACCUAUUGGAAUAUCUUACAUCUAACAAGUUACUUAUAUCUUUAUAAUGCAUUUGUAAUGGGUAAUAUUUAUUAUUAGAUGCACACUGAUUAAAUGAACAUUUUUGUGUGCAAUUUAAGUUACCACACUAUGUUCAUUUGUUGAAUGUGCCAGCAGUCGAUUAAACACUUAAUACUUAUUCAUAAAGACAAGAGUUUUCUAUUAGGCAGACGUCUCACUAACCAUGGGAUGUGUGUGCAAAGAAAAACUUUCAAUUAGACACAAAGUCAGACUAGAGAACACUUGACUAGACUAGAGACCUGAGCAUGCUGCCGGUCCGAACGAAGGCCUUUUCCAUUCAAAUGAAAUUGAUUUGAAUGAAUUUUUAUUCAGAGGUUUAAAAAUUGGAAUGUGGAAUAGAAAUGUUUGUCGAACGACCAUGGAAUCAUUGCAUAAUAAUAACCAGUACUAGACCAGUUCUAUGUUUGCGUUCACAUAGAACAAUCGCAUCUUCAACAUGCACGUAGGUUUACAAAGUGGUAGGCACUAGUUUCCUCCACUUUGUGCUUGAUUUUAUUUUAAUCUCACACCGAAAACAGGAGCAAAGGGCAGCCUUUAUUCAUUUCUUCAUACGAAAACGAAAAACAGAAGCCACUUCAUUUAGUACUUUGUGGACCUCUUUUUGCCAGCGUACCUGCGCUGAGUCUAAGUAAGAUUGAAGGACAAGGAAUUUGAGAAGGUUUCUUGGUGCAAAAUCUCUCCAGUUUCCACGGUCCUCUCUUGUGGACUCUCCUCUUUAACUCUCGAUAUAGCUUUCUGCCUGGAGCAAACAGAAUCUUCCGGUACUUCAUGAAGUCCAUGCAUAAGGGAUGGUACAAGACCUCAUGGACUACCAUCAAGUUGCCACUUUAAUAAAAGAGAAACCAGGAAACAACAGUCAGUGACAUCACUAAUGAGCUCCACAGUGCUGGUUUGAAGGGAUCACAAACAAUUGUUUGAAGAAGACCGAGAGCAGAAGUCUAGAGGUCAUAUACCACAUGAUGAAGUAAAGCACUCAUCAGCACUAAGAAGUAGAUGGCCAGACUGGACUGAGCAAAGAAAUACAGAGAUGAGCCACAAAAGCUCUGAAACCAACAUUAACCCCUGCCAAAGCGACGAAAAGACCAACGUGUAAAGAACAACUCAAACAUGGUGGAGGUCAAGUCAUCACAUGGGCUUUCAUGGCUGCUUCUGGAGCAUUCUCACCUCGAUUAAUUGAUGUAACCUGUGCUGAAAUAAAUUCAGUGUACUGAAA